UUUCACUCCACGUAGUCCCUACCCUCAGGACUGGUGGGAGAAGAGGCUGGCUCAGUGCCUGGCACUUAGUAAGCACGCAGCACAUGCCAGCCGCUGCUGGUACUGCUCUCAUUUCCAAGAGCCUGCUACGGGUGAGGUGCGUGCCGGGUGCUUUGGCACGGGGAGCCUGGUAGCCCUGGGUCUCUCCUCUCUCAAAUGAUACAGUCCAAGCACCUGGAUGAUGAGUAUGAGAGCAGCGAGGAGGAGAGAGAGACUCCCGCGGUCCCACCCACCUGGAGAGCAUCACAGCCCUCAUUGACGGUGCGGGCUCAGUUGGCCCCUCGGCCCCCGAUGGCCCCGAGGUCCCAGAUACCCUCAAGGCACGUACUGUGCCUGCCCCCCCGCAACGUGACCCUUCUGCAGGAGAGGGCAAAUAAGUUGGUGAAAUACCUGAUGAUUAAGGACUACAAGAAGAUCCCCAUCAAGCGCGCAGGUAGGCAGCCUGUGCCCCCUUCACCAUCCCCUAGUCUG
rnacentral:lncRNA from 1 species